rnacentral:rRNA from 1 species
CCUACGGGGCGCAGCAGUGGGGAAUAUUGCACAAUGGGCGCAAGCCUGAUGCAGCCAUGCCGCGUGUAUGAAGAAGGCCUUCGGGUUGUAAAGUACUUUCAGCGGGGAGGAAGGCAAUAAGGUUAAUAACCUUGUCGAUUGACGUUACCCGCAGAAGAAGCACCGGCUAACUCCGUGCCAGCAGCCGCGGUAAUACGGAGGGUGCAAGCGUUAAUCGGAAUUACUGGGCGUAAAGCGCACGCAGGCGGUCUGUCAAGUCGGAUGUGAAAUCCCCGGACUCAACCUGGGAACUGCAUUCGAAACUGGCAGGCUAGAGUCUUGUAGAGGGGGGUAGAAUUCCAGGUGUAGCGGUGAAGUGCGUAGAGAUCUGGAGGAAUACCGGUGGCGAAGGCGGCCCCCUGGACAAAGACUGACGCUCAGGUGCGAAAGCGUGGGGAGCAGACAGGAUUAGAUACCCUCGUAGUC